UCCACGAGAUGAUUCUUUUGA
rnacentral:piRNA from 1 species